AAGGCGACGACGGGUAGCCGGCCUGAGAGGGUGACCGGCCACACUGGGACUGAGAUACGGCCCAGACUCCUACGGAGGGCAGCAGUGGGGAAUAUUGCACAAUGGGCGCAAGCCUGAUGCAGCGACGCCGCGUGAGGGGAGACGGCCUUCGGGUUGUAAACCUCUUUCACCAGGGACGAAGCGUAAGUGACGGUACCUGGAGAAGAAGCACCGGCCAACUACGUGCCAGCAGCCGCGGUAAUACGUAGGGUGCGAGCGUUGUCCGGAAUUACUGGGCGUAAAGAGCUCGUAGGUGGUUUGUCGCGUUGUUCGUGAAAACUCACAGCUUAACUGUGGGCGUGCGGGCGAUACGGGCAGACUAGAGUACUGCAGGGGAGACUGGAAUUCCUGGUGUAGCGGUGGAAUGCGCAGAUAUCAGGAGGAACACCGGUGGCGAAGGCGGGUCUCUGGGCAGUAACUGGCGCUGAGGAGCGAAAGCGUGGGGAGCGAACAAGAUUAGAUACCCUGGUAGUCCACGCCGUAAACGGUGGUAAUAGGUGUGGGUUCCUUCCUUGGGAUCCGUGCCGUAGCUAAACGCAUUAAGUACCCCGCCUGGGGAGUACGGCCGCAAGGCUAAAAACUCAAAGGAAUUGACGGGGGCCCGCACAAGCGGCGGAGCAUGUGGAUUAAUUCGAUGCAACGCGAAGAACCUUACCUGGGUUUGACAUGCACAGGACGCCGGCAGAGAUGUCGGUUCCCUUGUGGCCUGUGUGCAGGUGGUGCAUGGCUGUCGUCAGCUCGUGUCGUGAGAUGUUGGGUUAAGUCCCGCAACGAGCGCAACCCUUGUCCUAUGUUGCCAGCGGGUUAUGCCGGGGACUCGUAGGAGACUGCCGGGGUCAACUCGGAGGAAGGUGGGGAUGACGUCAAGUCAUCAUGCCCCUUAUGUCCAGGGCUUCACACAUGCUACAAUGGCCGGUACAAAGGGCUGCGAUGCCGUGAGGUGGAGCGAAUCCUUUCAAAGCCGGUCUCAGUUCGGAUCGGGGUCUGCAACUCGACCCCGUGAAGUCGGAGUCGCUAGUAAUCGCAGAUCAGCAACGCUGCGGUGAAUACGUUCCCGGGCCUUGCACUCACCGCCCGUCAAG
rnacentral:rRNA from 1 species